rnacentral:rRNA from 1 species
AGAUUGAACGCUGGCGGCAUGCUUUACACAUGCAAGUCGAACGGUAACGCGGGGGCAACCCUGGCGACGAGUGGCGAACGGGUGAGUAAUACAUCGGAACAUGUCCUGGAGUGGGGGAUAGCUCGGCGAAAGCCGGAUUAAUACCGCAUACGCUCUGAGGAGGAAAGCGGGGGACUCGUAAGGGCCUCGCGCUGCGGGAGUGGCCGAUGUCGGAUUAGCUAGUUGGUGAGGUAAAGGCUCACCAAGGCGACGAUCCGUAGCUGGUCUGAGAGGAUGAUCAGCCACACUGGGACUGAGACACGGCCCAGACCUCCGUACGGGAGGCAGCGAGUGGGGUAAUUUUGGACAAGUGGGGGCAACCCUGACUCCAGCCAUGCCGCGUGAGUAGAAGAAGGCCGUUGGUUAGUAAAGCUCGUUACGGACGGACGUAAGUGGUUACGGUGAAC